UGUCUCCGCCGCACCCAGCCGAGUUCACCGUCGCCGCUGCGCACGGUGAAGGAGCCGAGCCCGCCGCCGCUGCCCGUGUGACGGGGCCCGCACGCCAAGAGAGGCCUCCCGCGCACCCCCUAGGUCAACCCGCUGCCGCAACCCUAUCUCGCCCCCGCGUCCACAUCGGUCGGGUAGUGACGGCAAGGCGCUGGGGAUGGUGGUCGCCAUGGCCAACUACUUCGCCGGCCGCGUCAGCAACGUCAUCCGGAGGUACAACAUCGAGCGCCACUGACGUCGCUCAACGAGGAGACCGGCGGGAUGAACGACGUGCUCUACCAGCUCCACACCAUCAUGAAGGAUCAGAGACAUCUGGUGCUCGCGCAUCUUUUCGACAAGCCCUGCUUCCUGGGAUUGAUUGCAGUCCAGCUCUGAACCCUGAAGAACUACCUGAUCCUCUAUGUUUUGUGAACGCUGUAUCUGUCAUAGUAGGACCAAAGGAAGGUGAUACACCAGAUAGACAGAAGUACAAACAAGGCAUCAAGUUUUUUGAACCUGAGAUCAAGGGACCUUCGCCUGAAAUGGUAGAGUACAUCGGAAUGCAAAACUUGAUUAAUGCCAUAAAGAACAGUGUUGGACUAAGUGAAGGGAAACUUCUAUUUGGGCUUAAAGGGAGAAUGGCAAAGUGUUAAAAUACCUUUCUCUUCUCUGAAACCUGUAUUUCGUGCUCGUACUAUGACUGAUGCUCCACCCUUCGAUGCAAGCAGCAUUACUUCACUGCAGCUUAUGUUCAGCAAGUUCGAAUAUGAUGGAAAACUCAACCCGACAUUUACUGAAGGUCCAUUCGAGCUUCCUUUUUCAAGUAUUAGAGCAUACAUCAAUGAGCCGAUCACUCCAAGGUUUGUUCAUGUGAGUUCUGCAGGAGUUACAAGGCCUGAAAGACCGGGUCUAGAUUUAAGCAAGCAACCGCCUGCUGUUCGCUUGAACAAAGAGCUUGGCUCCAUCUUAACUUAUAAGUUGAAGGUAUGCUCGUAGGUUAUACUGAUUAUAACUCUGGCUAAUUCUCAUGAAACAGGAAAUUGCAACAUUCUUCAUGGACAUAGUGAAUUCCUCUCAUGCAUAUGCGACUGGUGGCACAUCUGUCAGUGAAUUCUGGUCCGAUCCAAAGCGUUUAGCUGAAGCUCUGACCACUGAAACCGAGGAGUCCUGCACAACUUACAACAUGCUCAAGCAGCCUCUAGCCUUCUUCACUCCACCUUAACUAAUCUUAUUCGCUUCAUUUUGACUGUUAGCAUCUUGGUGGAGGCUCUAUGGAGGUGGAGCACCAAAUUUGCAACGCAUGGCUUCUCGAAUCCUCUCAUGGACAGCAAGCUCCUCCGGAUGUGAAAGGAAUUGGAGCACUUUUGAGUUUAUACAUACCAAGAGAAGAAAUAGACUAACAACAGAGCGCCUCAACAUGUUAGUCUACGUGCAAUUUAAUACAAGGCUGCUGUCCAAGAAGGAGGGGAUGAACAAGCUUUGGUGGUGUUUAGGGACCCGGAUGAGGCUGAAGUUCUUGGAACUGGGAUAAUGCUCCGGAAGUUGAACAAGUCCAGUGAAGCCCAAUGCUUGAUGUAGUAAUGCUUCUCCGUGAUGUAAUAAAUGGCAGUUGGCGCUUGACUUUGCUCCUGCCAUGAUGAACUGAAAAUAAAACUGCUGUAGAGUUGUUUCCAUAAUCAAUGAUUGUUUAUUUUGAUCCAAUUAUCUGAA